rnacentral:rRNA from 1 species
AGUUGCGAACGGGUGAGUAACGCGUAGGUAACCUGCCUGGUAGCGGGGGAUAACUAUUGGAAACGAUAGCUAAUACCGCAUAAGAGUAGAUGUUGCAUGACAUUUACUUAAAAGGUGCAAUUGCAUCACUACCAGAUGGACCUGCGUUGUAUUAGCUAGUUGGUGGGGUAACGGCUCACCAAGGCGACGAUACAUAGCCGACCUGAGAGGGUGAUCGGCCACACUGGGACUGAGACACGGCCCAGACUCC